AUACCUAGUUCAGAGGAGAAACUGUAUCCCAAUGCCUAACAUGGUGUAUUCACUGAUAAAGAGGCUGGUUUCCAUUCCAUCAGACAGCAAAUAUACUGAGAGAUUGACAGACUCGCUAGACUUUAAUUAAGAUUACUUGAAUAUGGGAAGUAGCUGACUGCUGGCAGAUGAAGUAGUUCCACUCAAAUCGACCUACUGUGUCAAG